ensembl:processed_transcript
CUCUCUUUUAAAAAAUCAGCCAUUUGGGGUUUUAAGCCAUAAACGAUUUUUCUUGUUGCAGGGGAUUGCAGAGGCAAAGCUAGACUAGGUCUUGGAGGCUGGUGUAAGGUGGUGCGCGGAAGGCAGGACGCUGAUGGGAGAGACUGGUCGAAGAAAAGCCUAAAUGGAUUCUCCGUGCUUUGGAUGGAGAAAGAGGGGGGAAGUGCGAGCUCCUUCAACUCGUUCUGUCCGGUGAGGAGUGAUCCAGCUUGGGCUGACGAGAGGCUCCGGAGCCUUCACGUUCAGUGCUUUUUACCUGCCAAUCAAACUGCUACAAGACAACACCCUGAUCUGGCAUGGUCGCAUCGAACCUAGAAAUUGUACUUUCCUCAAGAUCCGCUUAAGAGAAUCUGGUUGAUGGCUUUGGUCUGAGAGUUCAGACAUCUCUUGUGCAACUAAGAAAGACCUCAUUUUCCAUUUGCUGGAUCCUCCUGGUUUGUCAUCCCUGAGUCCUGUAAGAAGCUCAUCAGGAGGUCCCCUGCGCCGGAAGGACCAUGUCUUUUGUCUACACACAUGACUGUGUACCAUGUGCACGCCUGGUGUUCAUGGAAGUCAGAAGAGGGCAUGGGAUUCCCUGGGACUUCAGUUACAGACAGGCAUGAUGGCAUGGUGGAAUAUUCCUUGAAUCAUAGCACUCCUGAGGUGGAGGGCAGAGAGAUCUCUAUGAGUUUAAGGCAAGUCCUGUCUAUGCAGUGAGUUCGAGGACAGCGCAGUUGCACAGUAGAAUC